rnacentral:rRNA from 1 species
AGCGAACGCUGGCGGCAGGCUUAAUACAUGCAAGUCGAACGGGCACUUCGGUGCUAGUGGCAGACGGGUGAGUAACACGUGGGAACGUACCUUUCGGUUCGGAAUAAUCCAGGGAAACUUGGACUAAUACCGGAUACGCCCUUCGGGGGAAAGAUUCAUCGCCGAUAGAUCGGCCCGCGUCUGAUUAGCUAGUUGGUGAGGUAAUGGCUCACCAAGGCGACGAUCAGUAGCUGGUCUGAGAGGAUGAUCAGCCACAUUGGGACUGAGACACGGCCCAAACUCCUACGGGAGGCAGCAGUGGGGAAUAUUGGACAAUGGGCGCAAGCCUGAUCCAGCCAUGCCGCGUGAGUGAUGAAGGCCUUAGGGUUGUAAAGCUCUUUUGUCCGGGAAGAUAAUGACUGUACCGGAAGAAUAAGCCCCGGCUAACUUCGUG